CCUACGGGGCGCAGCAGUGGGGAAUAUUGGGCAAUGGGCGCAAGCCUGACCCAGCAACGCCGCGUGAAGGAAGAAGGCUUUCGGGUUGUAAACUUCUUUUGUCAGGGAAGAGUAGAAGACGGUACCUGACGAAUAAGCCACGGCUAACUACGUGCCAGCAGCCGCGGUAAUACGUAGGUGGCAAGCGUUGUCCGGAUUUACUGGGUGUAAAGGGCGUGUAGCCGGGUUGACAAGUCAGAUGUGAAAUCCUGCGGCUUAACCGCAGAACUGCAUUGGAAACUGUUGAUCUUGAGUACUGGAGAGGCAGACGGAAUUACUAGUGUAGCGGUGAAAUGCGUAGAUAUUAGGAGGAACACCAGUGGCGAAGGCGGUCUGCUGGACAGCAACUGACGGUGAGGCGCGAAAGCGUGGGGAGCAAACAGGAUUAGAUACCCGAGUAGUC
rnacentral:rRNA from 1 species